CCACACACGAUCCAAGAUCGACACUUUUUGUGAACUGUAAACUUUUUAUUGGUAUUUGGAGAAGCAUUGUCGCCUAAAAACGAUGUGUGUAUCCAGUAUCGAUGAAACUUUUAAACACCAAACCUUAAACAAAAAUGAUUUAUACAUUGGAACUUAAAUGUUAUAGCAAGUUCGUCUUGAUAUAACGCUAGAUUAUAAUUGUAAAA
rnacentral:misc_RNA from 1 species